UGUUACUUCUGUCAGAGCUGAACUUGAAUUUGCCAUCUCAUUUUUGGAGACCUACAGUUGAAUAUUUGCAUAUCUCUGGAAUGGUGUCUUAGUCUGUUUUGUGCUACUAUAACAGAAGACCACAGACUGAGUCAUUUAUAAGAGCAGAAAAUUUAUUUGGCUCAUGGAGCAGCCUAGAACCCUACUAUUAGGUCUGAGUCAGUCAGAUGGAAAGAAGGCGAAGUAGAAGCAUCAAGGUCGAAUCAGUCACACAUGGACUUCCCUAGUGGACUCAUUGAAAACCAGACCUUCUGAGCCACCCUUGGUAGGGGCUCUGGAAGUGGCUUCUGAAGAGACCCCAUUCUGCACCUCCCACGACUCUAUCCACCAAGGGCCUAGUGGGAGAAGUGUGCCCUGCAGUGCCCUCAGAAAGGCCCACUGAAACUGCAAACAUUCUUUUUCUGCACUGCCAUUUGGUUCAUGAAGACAUAUGGCUGGGAGAAGUUGAGUAUCCUAUGUCACCUUUUAGUCCAACAAUUUUAUGGAGGCUUAGCAUGGGCAGGCCUGGUGCCAGGUGAUGAGGAUGCACAUGGGAGCAGAUCUGGCCCUGCACACAGGAGCCCAUAUUUCUGGAUAGUGGGGCGGAGGUGACACAUGUCCACAUAACUGCCGUGUACAGAGAUAGCAAAACAGUAAGAUACAGGAUGAUUGAAGGUCUGUCUGUAGCUCAUCCAAAUGAUAUGGUGACCAGUUCCCAAGAGGAAUCUCUACACGUUUCCUGCUAUUGAGCCUAUGGAGCGUGAUAAAAGAAAUCUGGGCUGGGUGUGGUGGCUCACUCCUGUAAUCCCAGCACUUUGGGAGGCUGAGGUGGGUGGAUCACCUGAGGUCAGGAAUUCUAGACCAGCCUGGCCAACAUGACAAAACCCCUUCUCUACUAAAAAUACAAAAAAUUAGCCAGGCAUGGUGGCAGAUGCCUGUAAUCCCAGCUACAUGGGAGGCUGAGGCAGGUGCCACCCCAGCCAACAUGGCACCAUCCCAGCCAGCAUGGUGCUAUCCCAGACAAUAUGGCACCAUUCUAACCAACAUGGCACCACCCCAGCCUCAGGUAUUCCUUUAUAGAUAUACGAAUGGACUAAGACACUGGCAUAGCAAUAACACUAAUAAAUAUAUAUCGACUGAAUGAAAGAACAAACAUGUUAUCUUUCUGAAAGAAUAUAUUUUUUGGCCAGGCUUGGUGGCUCACGCCUGUAAUCCCAGCACUUUGGGAGGCCGAGGCGGGUGGAUCACGAGGUCAGGAGAUCGAGACCAUCCUGGCUAACAUGGUGAAACCCCAUCUCUACUAAAAACACACACACACAAAAUAAGCCGGGCUUGGUGGCAAGCAUCUGUAGUCCCAGCUACUUGGGAAGCUGAGGCAGGAGAAUGGCGUAAGCUUGCAGUGAGCAGAGAUGGGCCACUGCACUCCAGCCUGGGUGACAGAGCAAGACUCCAUCUCAAAAAAAAAAAAGAAGAAUGUAUUUUUUAAAACACAAUCAAAUCAAUGCCUUAAAACUAGGCUGUCACCACAUUUUUCCCCCCGUUUUACAUACUUAAAUUGGCUAAAUCAAGAAUACGGGCUGGCUCUCAGUCCCUAACUCGUGGGGGGGUGCCUCCCCCCCCUGCGAUGGGGGUCCUGAGAGCAGGGGGGAUGAGGGGCUUGCUGUCAGUCCCCGCCUUGCGGGGGGCCUUUAUGUUCAGGUUUUGCCCAAGAGUCAGCUUAUUUGCUUCUUGUACUAGCAGGGCAGUUGCUGCCAAGGCCCUCAAACACGGGAGCCAUCCUUCAGAAACCCUGUCUAGUUGUUCAGAGACGUAGGCCACCGGCCUCAGCCAGGGCCCCACAGUUUGGGUUAAAAGUCCAGCUGCCAUCUUUUCUCUUUCUAACGCAUACAAUGGAAAAGGCUUUGCCAGAUCGGGUAGCCCCGGGGCUGGGGCUGCCAGAAGUUUUUCCUUUAACUCAUGAAAGACUUGCUGUUCUUGGGAUCCCCAUUCCAAAGGUUCCCGGUCCCCGCCCCCUUUGUGACCUCAUACAAAGGCUUGGCUAAUACUGCAAAGUUUGGGAUGCACAGUCUACAGAACCCAACAACCCCUAAGAAUUCCGUAACGUGCCUUCUGCCCUUGGGCACCGGUAGAUGGCAAAUAACAUGCUUUCUUUCUGUUCCCGGGCUGCGUUCGGACCCCUGUCGGAGAGUAAAUCCCAACUAAGGUACCUGCCGUCGGCAGAUUUGAGCUUUCUUCUUGGACACGUAUUACCCACAGUCCUCCAGACUCUGGUAGAUUGCAUAUAACCUGCUUUCUUUCUGUUCCCGGGCGGCAUCAGACCCGUCGGAGAGUAAAUCCCAAGUAAGGUACCU
rnacentral:sRNA from 1 species